UAUUCUCCUUUGAACUUAGUGUGUCACACCUGAGUCAGUAGAUAGCAGAAAGGAGAGAGGCUAUCCAUUGUGUUCUGACCUAUGAAUAUAUGCAUGAUUAGUAGCCUAACAUU
ensembl:snoRNA Gm22074 predicted gene, 22074